rnacentral:rRNA from 1 species
UACGAAGGGGGCUAGCGUUGUUCGGAAUUACUGGGCGUAAAGCGCACGUAGGCGGACUAUUAAGUCAGGGGUGAAAUCCCGGGGCUCAACCCCGGAACUGCCUUUGAUACUGGUAGUCUCGAGUCCGGAAGAGGUGAGUGGAAUUCCGAGUGUAGAGGUGAAAUUCGUAGAUAUUCGGAGGAACACCAGUGGCGAAAGGCGGCGAUCUGGGAAGAUACUGACGCUGAGGUGCGAAAGCGUGGGGAGCAAACAGGG